CGGGCCACAAAAUGUCAGAGCGUCUCAUUUUCUUCCUGUUUGAGGGAGAAAAGACUAUCCGAGGUUCACGGCGGCUUCCGACUGGUGCUGAAGUGGGCCACGAAAGAAUGCUCGAGCUGUCCGAAGGAAUGGAUACUCCCUGAGCGAAGGCUGGAGUACCAGACCCUAGCAGCUUUACGGAGCGUGGUGGGGAAACCGAUGCAUAGGAGGGCAUCGGUUGCCCCUUGAAUUGUCAUGAGAGCCUUGUAGCUCUCCAGAUGGUCAAUUAGGUCGGUGGAGCCGUCGUAAGGCUCCACGUGAGGCAUCUUGAAUCAAUUAGGGAUCGGUUCAUCGAGGAC
rnacentral:lncRNA from 1 species